CAGAGGGUUGACUGGUUCUGUCCCAGUUAUAUUUCUGAUUCUAGCUCCAGCUGGGAUCACUGAACCCCAUCCCUGGCUGGAUUGAUGAUGAAUCUUCCUGCUGUUGGGGUUAUGAGGGAUCAGGAGCAGCUAUGGUUAAACCCCAAGAUUGCAUUUAAAAAGAAAAUUCUGGCCACAUUCAGCAGCAUGUGGAAUCUUAGUUCCCCUGCCAGGGAUUGAACCCAUACCCACUGCAGUGAAAGGCAGAGUCUUCACCACUGGGCCACUGGAGAAGUCCCCCCAGGACUGUAUUUUGUCCCUGGUGGAGCUUGAAGCCCUAAAUUCCUAAAGGCCUUUCAGGGGACUAUUUAAAACAGAGAGGUCAAGUAGGUCUGUCUUGCAAAGUCCACUCUGAUGGAUUUGUUGUGGCUGCCCGGCAGGCUGUGUUGACAAGGACUCUGAAGUUCUUUCCAGGAUCAGCAAGGGAAUAAAUCCAUGAUUGCUUGGUGAUGUCCAUGCUGGCCUUGUACUUCCUGUGUUUGGUUUAGAAAACAGCAGAUGUUCAGACCGAAAUGACUUUUUGCCUUUAUUUUUCACUCUCUUUUCCACCUUGAGGUCUGCUGUCAGAUUUAUCCCUGAAUUUCAUGUCCUUGUCUAGGAAACCUUUAGUGAUUGGCCAAUCACAUUUUCCAUGACGGCUGCAAUGAGAUCUCCCACCUAUUGGUGCUUGUUGCAAUGUGAUGUUGACACUUUGUCCAUUGAGAGUUGGGGGUCUCAGUUUCUUCCCCCUGGUUGGGGAUGGGGGGCCUGUGAUGUUUAGGAAGUGACACCAUGUGACUUCUGAGACUAAGUCAUGACAUGAGAUGAAGCUUCUGUAUGAUCUUUCAAGAUUUCUUUUCUUAGAUCCUAACCUCUGUGCUAUGAAGAAGCCAAGGCCACAUGGAGAGGCCAUAUGUAGCUAAAAAUCUCUCUUUCCACUCUCUGCCCAGCCAUCUCCUUCCCAUGUCUUAAAGCUUCUCUGGACACAUUCCGUGUCGUUUUAUGGCUUUCCAAUGCCUUGUCUGUGUGUUUCAUCUAGUUGACUAGUCCCUUUGGGGGCAGAGACUGACUUAUGACUCACAGACUCCUUGCAUCCUUUGUGAGCCGUCAACAGUGCUGGACCACAGCAGGCUGCCCAGAUGAAAGAGCGCAGGGAGUUCCAGCCACAGGGCAUCCUUUGCUCUCUCCUGGGCUGUAAUGCAGAGUCAUUGGAAGAUUUGGUGAGUGAGCUUUCUGGGCAGCCAUUCAAGAGUGGCAUCUUGGGCUGCAGAAGAGGCCUUGUGUGUGGUUAAAUUACGCAAAUUUGAAGAGAUGGCUGGGGUACUUCUUUCUAAAGGCCCUUCUGGAACUGCAGACGUGCUCUUGGGGGAUGGGAGAGGAUGAUGGAUACUUCUAGGUUCCAGGAUGGUGAUGGGGAAGCAGGAAAAUGGAAGAUGACUUUGUGUCCCUGGUAAGGAGAUGCCAACAAUGCCACAUGGUCGUUAUUCAUAUCUAAGCCAGCAGGCUCCUUAACCACCCCCCGCACAGCCUCGCAGCCACACUUCUGGCCAUGGGCUCCCUGAGAGCUGCUGCGGUGACCUGUGCAUCUCUGUGCGUCAAGCACCCUGUGUGGUAUGUGGAACAUGGGUGGGGGGAUGGUCACCAAAGGCUCAGGGUGAGCAUGGGGUGGCAUGUGUUCGUCUAAGGAGUUGGGGAGUAGAGUCUCCCUGCUGGUCAGGGAACCAUCACUAGGGUUUUGCAGAGCUCUGGACCCUUGGCUAGCUUCCUGUGUCUGUUACCGAGGCUGCUUUGCAGGGUAUCAGGGAGUCUUUGUUUUUAAAAGAUCUUGCUAGGAGGAGGUACAGGGUGGAGGAAGGCAGGAAGGACCAUGUCCCACUCUGUUCAUGGACUCCACUCCCAGUCGUGGGGCCUGUAGACCCAUCUCUGUGUCCUCAGGGUUUGGCACAGAAUAAACCCAUGGUCAGUGAGUGCGUGGGGUGGACCGGAACGCUGUAGACUUAACUGGCAGGAGAUCUAGGUUCCCCCCGCCACCCCAGUCACAUGCCAGCACAGGCCUCUUUGGGGCUGAGAACCUCUCCCCCCUCCCUACAGAAGGAGCAAAGGAUGGGACAGCACCCACUGCUUUCUGUGAGAUAGCCCGCCCCCAGUCUGUGUCCCUGCCAACCCACCCCCAAAGUGCACCCAGACAGAACGCACCCUUGGGCGAGCUGGUUGGAGUUCCACUUCUCGUGUAUCACGGACUUGGAGACUGCGACGGUCAGUGAGCCAGACUCAACGGUGGAGAGACUCUGCCGGCCCACCACCACACGGGCAUGUACGAUCUUCGUUCCCCAACCAGAGAUGGAAGCCACGCCCCUUGCAUUUGAAGAGGGGAGUCUUAAUCACUGGACUGCCAGGGAAUUCCAAGAAUUGUUUUGAACAUCUUUCUGUAGCACGAGUUGUUGGGAUUUUUCCUUUCUUGGGAGCUAUUUCUUCAGGACAUAUUUCUCCAAUUUAAUAUGUGUAAAGCAAAAUUUUGAUCCCUUCUGCUCACUCCCUGAAUCUGUGCUUUCCUUAAAUUUUCUUGUCUUGGUAAAUGGCAAACCAGCUGUACCUGCUGUUCAGGCCAAAACUCUUGGCAGUGAGUUUGAUGCUUCUCUUUCUCUCAUGUGCCUCAUUCGAACCCACCAGCAAAUCCCACCAGCGCUACUUCCAGAAUAUGUGGACAGAACGCCUCCCUCCUACCACCUCAACUGCUGGUCCCCAUCAUCUUCACAUCUCACCUGGAUUAUUAUUGUAGCUUCCUAUGUAUUGUACCUGAUCUUGGUCUGGCCCCUUCCUCACCCCAUUUCUCAACACAGUGGGCAGAAUGA